rnacentral:snRNA from 1 species
UUAGGUUUGCUCAUUUUACGAGAU